GGGGAGGUGAAGGCCAAGAGGAGGUGAGGAACUGUCUCUCCAAGUGCAAGCUGAUGGAUGUUUGCCAAGCCUGAAACACUGCUAAGGAGACAGAGGCAUUGCCUUCGGGACAGUGCCCUGGAUCAUUCUGAUGGCAUCGUCACCAAGUCCUUCAAGGCUAAAGGGGAACAGAAGAGCAGUCAGAAGAAUAUGACAGGAGAAGACUCUACUGCCCAUUGCUGGGUGUAGAGGUGAAAGAUGCGGUCAUAUGCCAAGGAAAGCUUGUGACAAUCGCAGAGACAGCUUCUUUCCUAUAGCCUCAAGGAAGUCAACCGUGUGGACAUUACAUCAUCAGCUCUGAGAGGCUCACAUCUAAUUUCCAGCUCACAAACUUGGAACUAAUAAAGAUGCUAGUUUCGG
rnacentral:lncRNA from 1 species